rnacentral:rRNA from 1 species
AAUGAACGCUGGCGGCGUGCGUAACACAUGCAAGUCGAACGUGAAAGUCCCCUUCGGGGGAUGAGUAAAGUGGCAAACGGGUGAGUAACACGUGGGUAACCUGCCCUCUGGUGGGGGAUAACCCUGCGAAAGCGGGGCUAAUACCGCAUAACAAGUCGCUAAAUAAUUAGUCGACUUCAAAGCCUUCGGGCGCUAGAGGAGGGGCCCGCGGUCCCAUUAGCUAGUUGGUAGGGUAACGGCCUACCAAGGCUGCGAUGGGUAGCCGGCCUGAGAGGGUGUCCGGCCACACUGGAACUGAGACACGGUCCAGACUCCUACGGGAGGCAGCAGUGGGGAAUUUUGCGCAAUGGGCGAAAGCCUGACGCAGCGACGCCGCGUGGGUGAUGAAGUUCUUCGGAACGUAAAGCCCUGUCAGGAGGGACGAAGCUCUGACGGUACCUCCAAAGGAAGCCCCGGCUAACUCCGUGCCAGCAGCCGCGGUAAACCUGUAGUCGU